GACAGAGGGGGCAAGCGUUGCUCGGAAUUACUGGGCGUAAAGCGCGCGCAGGCGGUCCUUUAAGUCUGAUGUGAAAGCCCACGGCUCAACCGUGGAAGGUCAUUGGAAACUGGAGGACUUGAGUACAGAAGAGGAAAGCGGAAUUCCACGUGUAGCGGUGAAAUGCGUAGAGAUGUGGAGGAACACCAGUGGCGAAGGCGGCUUUCUGGUCUGUAACUGACGCUGAGGCGCGAAAGCGUGGGGAGCAAACAGG
rnacentral:rRNA from 1 species